GAGUUUGAUCGUGGCUCAGAACGAACGUUAGCGGCGCGCCUAAUACAUGCAAGUCGUGCGAGAAAGGGAUUCGUCCCCAGUAAAGCGGCGCACGGGUGAGUAACACGUAGGUAAUCUACCCUCGGGUGGUGGAUAACAUUCCGAAAGGAGUGCUAAUACAGCAUAACACCGCAAGGACAAAGCGGGCCUCUCUAUAGAAGCUCGUGCCUGAGGAUGAGCCUGCGGCCCAUCAGCUAGUUGGCAGUGUAAUAGACUACCAAGGCUAAGACGGGUAGCUGGUCUGAGAGGAUGAACAGCCACACUGGAACUGAGACACGGUCCAGACUCCUACGGGAGCAGCAGUAGGGAAUCUUGCGCAAUGGGCGAAAGCCUGACGCAGCGACGCCGCGUGAGUGAUGAAGGCCUUCGGUUGU
rnacentral:rRNA from 1 species